rnacentral:rRNA from 1 species
GACGAACGCUGGCGGCGUGCUUAACACAUGCAAGUCGAACGGAAAGGCCCUGCUUUUGUGGGGUGCUCGAGUGGCGAACGGGUGAGUAACACGUGAGUAACCUGCCCUUUACUUUGGGAUAACUUCAGGAAACUGGGGCUAAUACCGGAUAGGAGCUCCUGCUGCAUGGUGGGGGUUGGAAGGUUUCGGCGGCUGGGGAUGGACUCGCGGCUUAUCAGCUUGUUGGUGGGGUAGUGGCUUACCAAGGCUUUGACGGGUAGCCGGCCUGAGAGGUUGACCGGCCACAUUGGGACUGAGAUACGGCCCAGACUCCUACGGGAGGCAGCAGGGGGGAAAAUUGCAAAAUGGGCGGAAGCCUGAUGCAGCAACGCCGCGUGCGGGAUGACGGCCUUAGGGUUGUAAACCGCUUUCGCCUGUGACGAAGCGUGAGUGACGGUAAUGGGUAAAGAAGCACCGGCUAACUACGUG